GCCUGGGUGGCUCAGUUGGUUAAGCGUCCGACUUUGGCUCAGGUCAUGAUCUCACGGUUUGUGAGUUCGAGCCCCACAUCAGGCU
rnacentral:tRNA from 1 species